rnacentral:rRNA from 1 species
GUAGGUGGCAAGCGUUGUCCGGGAAUUAUUGGGGCGUAAAGCGCGCGCAGGCGGUUCUUUAAGUCUGAUGUGAAAGCCCACGGGCUCAACCGUGGAGGGUCAUUGGAAACUGGAGAACUUGAGUACAGAAGAGGAAAGCGGAAUUCCACGUGUAGCGGUGAAAUGCGUAGAGAUGUGGAGGAACACCAGUGGCGAAGGCGGCUUUCUGGUCUGUAACUGACGCUGAGGCGCGAAAGCGUGGGGAGCAAACAGGAUUAGAUACCCUGGUAGUCCACGCCGUAAACGAUGAGUGCUAAGUGUUAGGGGGUUUCCGCCCCUUAGUGCUGCAGCUAACGCAUUAAGCGCUCCGCCUGGGGAGUACGGCCGCAAAGGCUGA